rnacentral:rRNA from 1 species
ACAAGCGGUGGAGCAUGUGGUUAAUCGAAGCAACGCGAAGAACCUUACCAGGUCUUGACAUCCCGAUGCUAUUUCUAGAGAUAGAAAGUACUUCGGUACAUCGGUGACAGGUGGUGCAUGGUUGUCGUCAGCUCGUGUCGUGAGAUGUUGGGUUAAGUCCCGCAACGAGCGCAACCCCUAUUGUUAGUUGCCAUCAUUCAGUUGGGCACUCUAGCGAGACUGCCGGUAAUAAACCGGAGGAAGGUGGGGAUGACGUCAAAUCAUCAUGCCCCUUAUGACCUGGGCUACACACGUGCUACAAUGGUUGGUACAACGAGUUGCGAGUCGGUGACGGCGAGCUAAUCUCUUAAAGCCAAUCUCAGUUCGGAUUGUAGGCUGCAACUCGCCUACAUGAAGUCGGAAUCGCUAGUAAUCGCGGAUCAGCACGCCGCGGUGAAUACGUUCCCGGGCCUU